UACGGGGGGGGCAAGCGUUGUUCGGAAUUACUGGGCGUAAAGGGCUCGUAGGCGGCCAACUAAGUCGGACGUGAAAUCCCUCAGCUUAACUGGGGAACUGCGUCCGAUACUGGAUGGCUUGGAUUCGGGAGAGGGAUGCGGAAUUCCAGGUGUAGCGGUGAAAUGCGUAGAUAUUGGGAGGAACACCAGUGGCGAAGGCGGCUCACUGGACCGGAACUGACGCUGAGGCGCGAAAGCGUGGGGAGCAAACGGG
rnacentral:rRNA from 1 species